rnacentral:rRNA from 1 species
UACGAAGGGGGCUAGCGUUGCUCGGAAUCACUGGGCGUAAAGGGUGCGUAGGCGGGUCUUUAAGUCAGGGGUGAAAUCCUGGAGCUCAACUCCAGAACUGCCUUUGAUACUGAGGAUCUUGAGUACGGGAGAGGUGAGUGGAACUGCGAGUGUAGAGGUGAAAUUCGUAGAUAUUCGGCAAGAACACCAGUGGCGAAGGCGGCUCACUGGCC